CCUACGGGAGGCAGCAGUGAGGAAUAUUGGUCAAUGGACGAGAGUCUGAACCAGCCAAGUAGCGUGAAGGAUGACUGCCCUAUGGGUUGUAAACUUCUUUUAUAUGGGAAUAAAAUGUUCCACGUGUGGGAUUUUGUAUGUACCAUAUGAAUAAGGAUCGGCUAACUCCGUGCCAGCAGCCGCGGUAAUACGGAGGAUCCGAGCGUUAUCCGGAUUUAUUGGGUUUAAAGGGAGCGUAGGUGGAUUGUUAAGUCAGUUGUGAAAGUUUGCGGGUCAACCGUAAAAUUGCAUUUGAGACUGGCAGUCUUGAGUACAGGAGAGGUGGGCGGAAUUCGUGGUGUAGCGGUGAAAUGCUUAGAGAUCACGAAGAACUCCGAUUGCGAAGGCAGUUCACUGGACUGCAACUGACACUGAGGCUCGAAAGUGUGGGUAUCAAACAGGAUUAGAUACCCGGGUAGUC
rnacentral:rRNA from 1 species